GAAAUGCGAUAAGUAGUGUGAAUUGCAGAAUUCAGUGAAUCAUCGAAUCUUUGAACGCACAUUGCGCCCUUUGGUAUUCCUUAGGGCAUGCCUGUUCGAGCGUCAUCUAAACCUUCAAGCCCUGCUUUGUGUUGGGUGCCUGUCCCGCCUCCGCGCGCGGACUCACCUCAAAUCCAUUGGCGGCCCCCGCGUCGGCCACGAGCGCAGCAGAAACGCGAACUCGUGAGCCCGUCCGGGCGGCUCCCAGAAGCUACACCCACCCAGUUUGACCUCGGAUCAGGUAGGGAUACCCGCUGAACUUAAGC
rnacentral:misc_RNA from 1 species